AGUGAACGCUGGCGGUAGGCCUAACACAUGCAAGUCGAACGGCAGCACAGUAAGAGCUUGCUCUUACGGGUGGCGAGUGGCGGACGGGUGAGGAAUACAUCGGAAUCUACUUUUUCGUGGGGGAUAACGUAGGGAAACUUACGCUAAUACCGCAUACGACCUACGGGUGAAAGCAGGGGAUCUUCGGACCUUGUGCGAUUGAAUGAGCCGAUGUCGGAUUAGCUAGUUGGCGGGGUAAAGGCCCACCAAGGCGACGAUCCGUAGCUGGUCUGAGAGGAUGAUCGGCCACACUGGAGCUGAGACACGGUCCAGACUCCUACGGGAGGCAGCAGUGGGGAAUAUUGGACAAUGGGCGCAAGCCUGAUCCAGCCAUACCGCGUGGGUGAAGAAGGCCUUCGGGUUGUAAAGCCCUUUUGUUGGGAAAGAAAAGCAGCAGGUUAAUACCCCGCUGUUCUGACGGUACCCAAAGAAUAAGCACCGGCUAACUUCGUG
rnacentral:rRNA from 1 species